rnacentral:lncRNA from 1 species
UACCAGGGCGAGGUGAUGGCUUGGUUAUUCCACAUUCUGCUACUCUGUCACUUGGCCCACCUUAUUUUAUUUUCAGUGUAGUAUCAGCUCUAAGGAAAGCCCCCCUUUUUAGAGGAAUUGUGCACAGACAGAACCAGCCUUUGAGAAAAACAGAUAGGGGAGUCUCAAUCCCUUAAGCAAGAACCCCACCAGCCUCGCACUGUCCUGGCCUCUGAACUACGUGAGGUACGCGUGCUUAAGGCAGCAACCAGGAGAAGCGCUGGGUUAUGGAGUACACUGUCUUCAUUCAGUAAGUGCCACGGCAGUACCCGCGUCUUACAGCUCAGUGUUAAAUACUGCAUUAGAACAAAUUUUGCUAUUGUUUCCACUGAAACCAGCGUUCCACCUCUUCCUAGGCAUCACGUUUCUGUGCCAUGUCGGGAUAGUUAUUCAUCUGCAGCCACUCUGCAUCUUACUGAGCGUCAAGUAAAACAAGGUUUAGGCAUAUUUGUUGCGUGCAGGGAGCUCAGGAAAGUCUUCAGGUAACAGAACAUGGAUGCGACAGAUAGGGCAGGUACUCGAAUGUUCCUUCAGCCAUUUUCUAAUGCACUGCAAGAACAGGAAGAUUAUGUUGAGGAAGCAGUCUCAGUCUGGUAUAAAGAGUUCGGCGUGACUUUCUUAAUAACUGCUCCUGACAGGUAAGAGAUUCUCUAGCCCCUUCUACAGCUUGCUAUGGAAUUUGCAGUUAAAACUAUUCUCCAGUUCUGAUGUGCUGCUCACCAACCUAUUUUGCAAGUGACAAAAAAGCAGUAAACAACUAUGGAAAUAGGAAAAAGUAAUGGACAGAAGUGUUGCAUUAUUCCACUAUAAUUUUUUCCCUCCUUACUACAUGAAGCUACACGUGCAGCUCCUAUCAGGUGGCAAAUGUAGCUUUAUAGCAGUGGCCCCUUCUCGAAGGAUGCUACAAACAGAAACCCGUGAUUUGAUUACCAAGACUUGAUUAUUCUGAAUUCAAACUAAGCUUAAAUUCGUGCUGAUGAGUUACCAUCUUAGUUAAGAUCUAAAACUGGAAACUUUCCAGAACAGUAAGACUGCAUAUAGGAAGUCUUGGCGCAAAAAGUAUGGAAAGGAAAACGAUGUCCUGCCGUUCCUAACUUCAGAUACUGAAGGAUAAGGAGGAGGGAGAAGCUUUUAAAGAGUAAAAUAACUGCAUAACUGAAGAGAGAGUUAGUCAACAUUUGCAUCUAAGCGGUAAGAAAAAAAAUUCUUACUUCUCUGUGAAAAUGAUGCCCACACUCCAGUUCACAUGAGUCUCUGCUUAACUCAUCAUGGCAGAUGGUGCACGGAUCAUCGCUGGAAGGUAUAUAGUCUAGUUUUUUCCAUUUAGAUUUCGGUGUUGCUCCAGCAUUCCCCCAUGGCUGGAGAUUUGGCUGAGAUGGCAGCGUGUUUUUACUGGAGGUGCUUUUGUGUGCAGGCCUUGCCUUGGGUGCGCUGGAAAUAUUUCCUUCUGCAGCUGCUUCCUGACUUUGAGUUCCCGUCUGUCCCGCUGAAGCGGAUGAUGCAGACAUCAUAGGUCUCCCUACAGAAGCUGAUGCCUAGACAGGUAUUGGAUAAGAGUUUUGAGCAAGUUCACAGUUCAGACAGCAAGGAGAAAUUUGUAUUCUCUUUUAGACUGUGCUGCAUUAUUUCCACUGUCAGAGAUGCACAAUAGAAAUAGCAGCAACUACAACAGACCUCAUUUUGCUGGUCCAGAAUGAGAUCUGUCACUCUGCUUAGAAUUUCAGUGGAGCUCAAACUUAAUGUAUUCCCACUUCUUCUUUGUACAUCUUUUAUGAACCUCGUGAACUCUGAACUGAAAGAAAAGUGACAUGAUAACUGACGGUUAAUACUACAGCUACUACAGGAAUAUUAGAAAACACUGUAGUUUCCAUGUUUGACUCAUAGCAGGAGAGCCUGUAAAAGAUCCUAACCUCUCAACAGAACUGCAGCAAACACCUACAUCUAACACCUCUCAAUAACUAGGAUCUAGCUAUCGUAUUCGUAAAGAUAAAAUACUACUAUUCGCUGAGAACAUUAGGUCAACACUGUAGGUCAGUUCCAAUAAGGAACAGCUCAGUGAACAAGGGAAAAAACAUAACAUUAUUCCUUUUGUGAGAAAGGAGUAUCCAGUAAGAAAACAAUUCUCUUUGUACUAUAUCCGUGAAAGUUUAGAAUUUCUAUUACCAAACAGAGCAUUACACGCAUUAAAAAAAUACCUGCUGUAGCCCGGAAAUAUAGUUUGUAGAUGAGCAAUAAUAUUUUCAAAUGUGUUGUUUGAAGUGGGCUUCAUCUGUGUAGCUGAAUCAUCUUGGUGGGUUUGGUUUGGCUGUAUAUUCUGAGUAUUGCUUCCUGAAACCUUUGGCAUAGAAUUUAGCGAAACUUUAUCAGCAUACGAUCCUGUCCGAGCUUUGGAGUUUGUUUUCACUGAUCCAUCACUUGCAGAGCAAACCUUAGAAUUUGCAUUUGCAGGCUUAACUCCAGCCUGGCUAUUAAAUGAAGCAGUUGUUGGACCUUGAUCUUCAGAACUCGAAACUGCAGGAAGUAAAUUAGGCUGUGCAGAUGCAGAGGAACACAGGACAAGGGCUGGAUCACUGACAGCAGGUCUGCUUUGCUUUCUCUACAAAAUAAACAGAUUUCACAAGAAAAAAUAGUAAUUGAAAUAAACUCAGCAGAACUCUGGAGCAUUUGUAGCAUGAACUGUGCUACAUUUUGUCACGAUGAGGAACUGGAAGGUCAUAUCUGAAUUUUCUGCCUAAGUGAAAAUACCGUACAAAAGUGCCCUUUAUUUGUACUGCACAUAGACAACUGGCUUGAAGUAGGAGCAGCAUGUAUGCAUUCAACAUGUUACUUUUACGUAUCCUGGACUUGCUAAGGAGUGAAUGCUGCUGGACAGCUGUGGUAUUUGUAGUACAGUUUGAUGCUGGUGUGAGAAAUCACUGCUUUAACACAAGUGCCAUCAAUUUGAAAAUACAGCAUUUACUGCUUUUAAUUGGUGAUAUAAACAAUAUAUAACCCAGUGCAAUAUUUAUUCACUUAUUUACUUUCAAAACAAACACGUCAGCUAAAGCGAUCGUGUUGAGAAUCCUGGAGUUCACAUGAUCCAGGAAGACUUCUCUUUGCACUAGCAACUCUCAUCAAUGGAAAGAACUAGUGAGAACUACUGGUGAUAUGUGGAUGGUUGGACUGGAUAAUAUUGUUGUUUUUUUUUCAACUUUGGUGAUUCUAUGAUUACUGCUGUUGUUUCAGAACUUGGCUGCUCCAAGAAAGCUGCCAUCUAACAUGCACAAGAUCAGGUUGGAUGGGCCGUGGGCAGCCUGAUCUAGUGUCUGAUUUAGUGGUUGGCAACCCUGCCCAUGGCAGGAGGUUGGAACUAGAUGAACUCUGAGGUCCCUUCCAACCCCAGCCAUUCUGUGAUUCCUUUGAAUGAGAAGAAACAAAUGGAAGUACAUUUUGGAACAAAGCAACAGUCUACAAAAAGCCCAGUUGAGUAUUUGCUUGAGAAUGCACUAUUUUUGUUUCAGUCUGCAUAUAACCAACUUCUAGUUUUGCCAACAGAGAUAUGUAGAGGUAACCUGACCUAAAUCACUACCUAGUACAGCAGGCUAAAUUGAACUUUCACAAAUUUGCACAUUCUUUAGUACAUGGCUUUAGGUUUAGUUUUGUUGAUCCUUACAGAUUUGUUUAUCCAAUUAUGCUUCUUAUACCACUUUAUUAAAAAAUGGUACAAAUUACAGAUGGAAUUAAACAGUCAAGGACAGCAACCAUUUUCAUCAAGUCUUUUUCAUUUGGAUUCAGUAUUUGCCUCUCAAGAUCUCCCUGAUGCUGAAAGAACUACAGAUACAUUUUCUAAGAAGUUACUCCUCUAUCAAUACAGUAGAAGCAGGUGCCACAUGCAUAACAAGUGGAACAAAAAUCACUCUACUUCCAAACUUCUAAAAUGAUGGUAACCUAAAGAAGGUAACUAAGAAUAUCUACAUAUUCUUAAGAGUUAUGUGCCAAUAAGGAGAAAAGAAGAGACCUAAACCUCAGUGGGGAAUAAAAGGUAUGCCAGAGAACAUAAGGGAGUGUGAGGCCAGAAAAACUGCAGUGACAAUCAUAAGAUACUACAGUUUUGGAACAAAGCCUUGGGUCUAAAUUACACCAAAAACAAAGGAAAGAAAAAAAAAAUAAAAAAGCCAUGACUUUAUGCAGAGAAUACAUAUUUUAAAGAAAGUUUCUUUUGUGGCAUCUGUGAUCUGUUUGAGGGUUUCAUUUUUGCAUGUGCCAGGAAUGCAUUUUACUUAACACUUAACUCCCCUGUUCUAAAGGAGGACUGAACCCUUUUUGCUUUUCUCCAAACUGUCCGAGGGUACAGUAACUCAUGCAUGCUAUUUGUCUUCAUGACUGGGCAUCAGCUCCAUGCCGAGGUUUCAAUUUUACUUCAGUGAAUGGCAGCAUUCAGGCUGCUGGCAUCAUUGUUGCAGCUAGCUUGACUACUUCGGCAUGGCCAUGCGUCUCCCCAAACCAUGCUGAUAAGGAAGUAAAUGAGUACUGACUUACACUGACUUUGUCUUGGCACCAGGAACUAUCACACAGUUUGGAAGUAACUGACAUGAUUUGAGCAAAGCAUUUGUAGAAUUGCUGACCUAUAACAAAGUGCUUUCAAUAGCAUUUAUCUGGGGUGUAGUCAUUGCAGAAUAAUUUCCAUAAACCUACAUACUGCUCUGAAUUCAAGGCUAUGCAUUCAAGCUCUCCAUGUACAUGUUCUGUAAUGGACAUCCUGAAUAUACUGCUAUCACACGUGAGAUACAUACUAAGACACUGGGAAGAGAUGAAAGAUCCGCAGCUUCUAUUUUGGUGAGGCAGUUUCGAACACCAUUUUUCACCUUCUCAAUUUUUUCUUCGUACCCAACCUGUGGAAGGAAAACAAAUUCCUCUCCAAAUCAGCAUUAAAUAAAGCUCUCCCGGUAGUUCAAACAGUAAAAGGCAGCAGGCCUUUCACGUGGCUACAAUAAGGCUGCCAUCUCCUACGGUAACAUUAAUCUCUAUGGAAGUACUUGCAUUAAUGCCUGCAAACAUUUGUGACACACCUAGCUUUUAAAACUUAACCCAGAUGUUCCAUACAGCUUCCCUUUUGAAAGACAAUUUUGUCAAUUUUAAAAAAGUUGCACGGACUUUCAAGUUAAAAAAA